rnacentral:rRNA from 1 species
AAACUUUCAACAACGGAUCUCUUGGUUCUGGCAUCGAUGAAGAACGCAGCGAAAUGCGAUAAGUAAUGUGAAUUGCAGAAUUCAGUGAAUCAUCGAAUCUUUGAAC